rnacentral:rRNA from 1 species
AGCGAACGCUGGCGGCAGGCUUAACACAUGCAAGUCGAGCGGGCAUCCUUGUGGUGUCAGCGGCAGACGGGUGCGUCACGCGUGGGAACGUGCCCUUCGUUUCGGACUAACUCAGGGAAACUUGAGCUAAUACCGGAUACGUGCGAGAGCAGAAAGGUUUAUCUGCCGAAGGAUCGGCCCGCGGCUGAUUAGCUGGUUGGUGAGGUUACGGCUCACCAAGGCGUAGAGCAGUAGCUGGUCUGAGAGGAUGAUCAGCCACACUGGGACUGAGACACGGCCCAGACCUCCAGGGAUGGGAGAAGGGGGGAAGGAGGGACGAUGGGGGAAAGACGAAGCCCGCCAGGCCGUGUGAGUGAGUUCGGCCGUAGGGUGAUAAAGCUCUUUUCUCCGGGACGUUAAUAACGGUACCGGAGGAAUAAGCCCCGGCUAACUUCGU